UUUAAGUGUAACCAUAAGUUUUUCGGCCAAGUUUAAUCGUCCGUCUUAUUUAAAUUUUUUUAUAUAAUUAGUAUUUUUAUUAUUAUGUGAUGAUAAAUAUAAAUAGUACUUCACUCAUGUUUUUAAUUUUUUUAUUUAUUUUUUAUAGAUAAGAUGGACGAUUAAAAUUUUACACAGAAAAUCAUGGCUGCAUACGGA
rfam:Oryza nivara chromosome 10, whole genome shotgun sequence.